AUUGAACGCUGGCGGCAGGCCUAACACAUGCAAGUCGAACGAGUGGCGGACGGGUGAGUAAUGUCUGGGAAACUGCCUGAUGGAGGGGGAUAACUACUGGAAACGGUAGCUAAUACCGCAUACCAUCAGAUGUGCCCAGAUGGGAUUAGCUAGUUGGUGGGGUAACGGCUCACCAAGGCGACGAUCCCUAGCUGGUCUGAGAGGAUGACCAGGCCAACGGGGACUGAGACACGGGCCAGACUCCUACGGGAGGCAGCAGGGGGGAAUAUUUGGAAAUGGGCGCAAGCCUGAUGGAGCCAAUCCGCGGGGUUGAAGAAGGCCUUUGGGUUGUAAAGUUAUUUUCGCGGGGAGGCGUUACCCGCAGAAGAAGCACCGGCUAACUCCGUGCCAGCCGCCGCGGUAAUAC
rnacentral:rRNA from 1 species